UCGAGUCUUUGAACGCAAGUUGCGCCCGAGGCCAAUCGGCCAAGGGCACGUCUGCCUGGGCGUCAAGCAUUACAUCGCUCUGUGCCAACUCAAACCCCGUUAAUAGGUGAUUUAAAAAAGGCUCAGAUGCAUAGAGUGGCUCAUCGUGCCCAUCAGCACG
rnacentral:rRNA from 1 species